AUUUAAAUAGCUUAUUUAGAGCACAAUAUUGAAGAUAUUGAGGAAAUAUUUUAUUUUUAAAUA
rnacentral:tRNA from 1 species